rnacentral:rRNA from 1 species
GAUGAACGCUGGCGGCGUGCUUAACACAUGCAAGUCGAACGAGAAGUGAAUACGGAAACCUUCGUGCGGAAGGCUUUAUUUCGAGUGGCGGACGGGUGAGUAACGCGUGGUUAACCUGCCUCAUACAGGGGGAUAACAGUUGGAAACGACUGUUAAUACCGCAUAAGACCACAGCACCGCAUGGUGCGGGUGUAAAAACUCCGGUGGUAUGAGAUGGACCCGCGUUCGAUUAGCCAGUUGGCGGGGUAACGGCCCACCAAAGCGACGAUCGAUAGCCGAUCUGAGAGGAUGAACGGCCACAUUGGGACUGAGACACGGCCCAAACUCCUACGGGAGGCAGCAGUGGGGAAUAUUGCACAAUGGGGGAAACCCUGAUGCAGCGACGCCGCGUGAGUGAAGAAGUAUUUCGGUAUGUAAAGCUCUAUCAGCAGGGAAGAAAAUGACGGUACCUGAGUAAGAAGCCCCGGCUAACUACGUG